rfam:Eucalyptus grandis cultivar BRASTZ1 unplaced genomic scaffold scaffold_6, whole genome shotgun sequence.
GAAGGCAAAUGAUGGAUAAAAAAGUUAUAUACACACUGAAAUCUCAUGUGGUUUACUUUUCCGCUUAUUGUCUGAUGCCUAU